UAAAGAGACAUGGCAACUGAAGGCCACACCUCAGCCUGGGUCGAAUCCACCAGGGCAACUCCCCAAACCCUGAUGAUGACAGGGCAUCAGUGAGAAAAGAUGCUGGCUCUGGAGCCAACGAGGCAAAGAAGAGGAAAAUACCCACAGAACUUGCAACAAAACUAAAGCCCAUAGAUCAGCAUCCAGAUAAACUCUGCCGAAGUCACCCUGCCUGACUGAUGAUCUCACUGAGUAGAAGACUUGAAAUGAACACUCACCGCCCAUCAUCCGUUCCCUCCAUAACCAGAAGCAGGUAAUCUCGUCUUUGCCAUUUGCUGCUAGAAUCCGUAAAAUAAAUCUUCCUCCCAUCCUGA